GCCCCCUUAGCUCAGGGGAUAGAGCGUCUGCCUCCGGAGCAGAAGGCCGCAGGUUCGAAUCCUGCAGGGGGCACCA
rnacentral:tRNA from 1 species